rnacentral:rRNA from 1 species
GGGCUUGACAUCCCACGAACCUGGGAGAGACCCUGGGGUGCCGAAAGGAACGCGGAGACAGGUGCUGCAUGGCUGUCGUCAGCUCGUGUUGUGAGAUGUUGGGUUAAGUCCCGUAACGAGCGCAACCCUUGCCCCUAGUUGCCAGCAUUAAGUUGGGCACUCUGGCGAAACUGCCCCGGAUAACGGGGAGGAAGGCGGGGAUGACGUCAAGUCAUCAUGCCCCUUACGUCCUGGGCUACACACGUGCUACAAUGGCCGGUACAAAGGGAUGCCACACCGCGAGGUAGAGCUAAACCCAAAAAGCCGGUCUAAGUUCAGAUUGGAGUCUGCAACUCGACUCCAUGAAGGAGGAAUCGCUAGUAAUCGCGUAUCAGCACGACGCGGUGAAUACGUUCCCGGGCCUUGUACACACCGCCCGUCACACCACGAAAGUCAGCUGUACUCGAAGUCGCUGAG